UACGUAGGCAGCGAGCGUUGUUCGGAAUUACUGGGCGUAAAGAGUGUGUAGGCGGUGCUCCAAGUCUGUUGUGAAAUCUCCCGGCUUAACCGGGAGGGUGCGGCGGAAACUGGAAUGCUUGAGGGUGGGAGAGGUAAGCGGAAUUCCUGGUGUAGCGGUGAAAUGCGUAGAUAUCGAGAGGAACACCUGCGGCGAAGGCGGGUUGCUGGGCUGACACUGACGCUGAUGCGCGAAAGCUAGGGGAGCGAACGGG
rnacentral:rRNA from 1 species